rnacentral:tRNA from 1 species
GGGCCGGUAGAUCAGACUGGUAGAUCGCCCGCUUGGCAUGCGGGAGGGCGCGGGUUCAAGUCCCGCCCGGUCCACCA